rnacentral:rRNA from 1 species
CAGUAGCCGCGGUAAUACGAAGGGGGCUAGCGUUGCUCGGAAUGACUGGGCGUAAAGGGCGCGUAGGCGGAUUGUUUAGUUAGGCGUGAAAUUCCUGGGCUUAACCUGGGGACUGCGCUUAAUACAGGCAGUCUAGAGUGAGGAAGAGGGUUGUGGAAUUCCCAGUGUAGAGGUGAAAUUCGUAGAUAUCGGGAAGAACACCGGUGGCGAAGGCGGCAACCUGGUCCUUGACUGACGCUGAGGCGCGAAAGCGUGGGGAGCAAACAGGAUUAGAUACCCCUGUAGUCCCUGUCUCUUAUAC